rnacentral:rRNA from 1 species
AUUGAACGCUGGCGGCAGGCUUAACACAUGCAAGUCGAGCGGAGAUGAGGUGCUUGCACCUUAUCUUAGCGGCGGACGGGUGAGUAAUGCUUAGGAAUCUGCCUAUUAGUGGGGGACAACAUUCCGAAAGGAAUGCUAAUACCGCAUACGUCCUACGGGAGAAAGCAGGGGAUCUUCGGACCUUGCGCUAAUAGAUGAGCCUAAGUCGGAUUAGCUAGUUGGUGGGGUAAAGGCCUACCAAGGCGACGAUCUGUAGCGGGUCUGAGAGGAUGAUCCGCCACACUGGGACUGAGACACGGCCCAGACUCCUACGGGAGGCAGCAGUGGGGAAUAUUGGACAAUGGGGGGAACCCUGAUCCAGCCAUGCCGCGUGUGUGAAGAAGGCCUUAUGGUUGUAAAGCACUUUAAGCGAGGAGGAGGCUACUGAGACUAAUACUCUUGGAUAGUGGACGUUACUCGCAGAAUAAGCACCGGCUAACUCUGUGCCAGCAGCCGCCGCGGUAA